GCAUUAGUAGCUCAGACCUAGAGCCUCGGCUUUGUAAGCCGAAAGCCGGGAGUUAAAAUCUCCCCCACUGCU
rnacentral:tRNA from 1 species